CUACCGAUUGAAUGGCUUAGUGAAUCCUUCGGAUUGGCUAUUUUUUUCUGGCAACAGAAUUAAACUGCUAAAAGUUGGGCAAACUUGGUCAUUUAGAGGAAGUAAAGUGAAUGCGGAAGGAUCAUUAAUAAAAUGGUCUACGUUUUUUAA
rnacentral:rRNA from 1 species